UUUGUACACACCGCCCGUCGCUACUACCGAUUGAACGGCUCAGCAAGGCCUUCGGACUGGCCCAGAGAGGUUGGCAACGACCACUCCAGGCCGGAAAGUUGGUCAAACUUGGUCGUUUAGAGGAAGUAAAAGUCGUAACAAGGUUUCCGUAGGUGAACCUGCGGAAGGAUCAUUA
rnacentral:rRNA from 1 species